rnacentral:rRNA from 1 species
UACGUAGGGUGCAAGCGUUUAUCCGGAAUUAUUGGGCGUAAAGAGCUCGUAGGCGGUGUGUCACGUCGGCCGUGAAAACCUGGGGCUUAACUCUGGGCGUGCGGUCGAUACGGGCAGGCUAGAGUUCGGUAGGGGAGACUGGAAUUCCUGGUGUAGCGGUGAAAUGCGCAGAUAUCAGGAGGAACACCGGUGGCGAAGGCGGGUCUCUGGGCCGAUACUGACGCUGAGGGGCGAAAGCGUGGGGAGCGAACAGG